rnacentral:rRNA from 1 species
GAACGCUGGCGGCGUGCCUAACACAUGCGAGUCGAGCGAGGACUUCGGUCCUAGCGGCGGACGGGUGAGUAACGCGUGGGUAAUCUGCCUCAUACACACGGAUAACGUACCGAAAGGUACGCUAAUACGAGAUAAAGUUAAGAAAUGGCAUCAUUUCUUAAUCAAAGAAUUUCGGUAUGAGAUGAGCCCGCGUCCCAUUAGCUAGUUGGUAAGGUAAAAGCUUACCAAGGCGACGAUGGGUAGCCGACCUGAGAGGGUGAUCGGCCACACUGGAACUGAGACACGGUCCAGACUCCUACGGGAGGCAGCAGUGGGAAUAUUGCACAAUGGGCGAAAGCCUGAUGCAGCAACGCCGCGUGAGCGAUGAAGGUCUUCGGAUCGUAAAGCUCUGUCCUCAAGGAAGAAUUUUGACGGUACUUGAGGAGGAAGCCCCGGCUAACUACGUGCCAGCAGCCGCGGUAAUACGUAGGGGGCUAGCGUUAUCCGGAAUUAUUGGGCGUAAAGGGUGCGUAGGCGGUCCUACAAGUCAGAGGUGAAAGGCUACGGCUCAACCGUAGUAAGCCUUUGAAACUGUAGGACUUGAGUGCAGGAGAGGAGAGUGGAAUUCCCAGUGUAGCGGUGAAAUGCGUAGAUAUUGGGAGGAACACCAGUUGCGAAGGCGGCUCUCUGGACUGUAACUGACGCUGAGGCACGAAAGCGUGGGGAGCGAACAGGAUUAGAUACCCUGGUAGUCCACGCCGUAAACGAUGAGUACUAGGUGUCGGGGG